rnacentral:rRNA from 1 species
GGAUUCCCCUAGUAGCGGCGAGCGAAGCGGGAAAAGCUCAAAUUUGUAAUCUGGCGUCUACGACGUCCGAGUUGUAAUCUCGAGAAGUGUUUUCCGUGAUAGACCGCAUACAAGUCUCUUGGAACAGAGCGUCACAGUGGUGAGAACCCAGUACACGAUGCGGAUGCCUAUUACUUUGUGAUACACUUUCGAAGAGUCGAGUUGUUUGGGAAUGCAGCUCAAAUUGGGUGGUAAAUUCCAUCUAAAGCUAAAUAUUGGCGAGAGACCGAUAGCGAACAAGUACCGUGAGGGAAAGAUGAAAAGCACUUUGGAAAGAGAGUUAACAGUACGUGAAAUUGUUGGAAGGGAAACACAUGCAGCCAGACUUGCUAUUCGGGGCAACUCGAUUGGCAGGCCCGCAUCAGUUUUUCGGGGCGGAAAAUCAUAGAGAGAAGGUAGCAGUUUCGGCUGUGUUAUAGCUCUUUAUUGGAUUCGCCCUGGGGGACUGAGGAACGCAGCGUGCUUUUAGCAUAAGCUUCGGCUUAUCCACGCUUAGGAUGCGGGUGUAAUGGCUGUAUAUGACCCGUCUUG